GAUCCGGGGACCCGCCCCCAGAAUUGUGGCCUCGUCCUCUGAUUGGUUGGAGAACAAGCACAUCCGGGGCCUUCUUCCUGUUCCGCCUCUUGCUUGUUAUUGGUCGUUAGAUGUUUUGGUCAGCUAUGGAGCAUGCGUAUUGGGAGGGAUAUCCGGAAUGAAAUGGUCCUCCAUGAGAGCCACAAGCGGGCAUUCAACAACUUGAAAACUGGAUUGAAAAUGAGAGACAGAGCAGCCACUCCAGAAGCUUCCAAAAUCACGCUGCACCUUCUUGAACUGCUGCGAUCCAUGUGGUGACGUAGCUCCCAUGUUGCAAUUUGGACGACCAGAGCAGCACACAGUCCGACCGAAGAGGACUAGCCAACAUAACUUCCCAAGUCCUGUACUCAGACCUGAGCAAUGAAGACAAGUGUGCUAAACGCCUUCUUAACCACCCUGUCUACCUGUGAUGCAAAUUUCAAAGAAUGAUGUACCUGAAACCCGAGGUUUUUUUCUGUUCUGCAACACUACCGAGAGCCCAACCAUUAAUUGUGACAUGGACUUUGCUGGCUUGGCCAGAAUUUAUUGCCCAUCUGUGAUUGCACAGAGGGCUAUCAAGUGUCAGCUGCAUUGCUGUACGGCUGGAGGCACUCACAGACCAAACCAGGGAAUUGGAAAGGAAGUAUUUACUGACAGGCUGCUCAACUCAAACUUUGGAUCAAGAACUGUCAGAUUCACUUCAUUCUCAGGAGCUUUGAACAUUUAAGGAACAAGUGUCAUUCACAGUGAAGAGAAACCAUACAGGUGGUCUG